GGGGGGGGGGGGUCGUGGUCUAGCGUUUGAAUCUUCAGAGACACAAAUGCUGGUUUUAGGUUCUGUGUUUGGGGUUCGAACGCCAACGUUCAUAAAUGAUAUUUAAGUUUCAUCUGUCGGGUUUCUUCUUCUCAUUUGUUCUCCUUAUCGGCGAAAUACAUCUGAUUUCGGUUUGAGUCUUUCUGUGUGUUUUACAUCAGCUAGACGAUGAGGAGAGAAAGGAGGUGUCAUCACUUUACUAUUCUAAAGCAUUACGCCGAGGAUCCUGAUUACACAUACUGCUCGUUUAGUUCCUUUCCUCCCACAAAUGAUGCAGUUUGUCAACAGGAAGAAAAAAAACUAAAAAGGGAAAUUGUCACCAAAAGGUUUAGUGUUUGUAUAAAACAACAUCGUGAACUGUUUCUUUUUGCAAACUUCCCUCUGAGUAAUAAGUAAAGCUUUGGUUGAACGAUGAGUUGAAGCUCGAUGAGGACGAGAGAAGCUUUUCCAGAGACACCAAACGUUGCAAUGAAUGAUCCAAAAGUAGAGAAGAGGAUGAAUCCCUUUAAACAGAGCGUUAGCGCGCUGCAGCAUGGACAGAGAGCCGGCCCUUCAGAGCCAAUCAGAGCACGGCGAGCGAGCCAAUGGGACCGCCCCCCGGCCCGCGGCGGACCCCUCCACCCCGACGACCCCCAACCCUCCUCGGCUGACCCCCAACCCGACGCUGCUGGACUCCCUCGCGCCCAUGCUGACGCCCGCCACCUCCUCCCCCCCUCCCCCCCCCUCCCCCGGCUCCCUCCGUCUCGGCGACCCACGUGCCCAGAGUGGCUCCAUCGCCGCACCUGCUCGCCCCGGCUCCCCCGAAGCUCACCCCGACCGCCGUCCCCGCCCUGCGCACGUACUCUCGCCCGCUCUUUCCAUCGCCGUUGGGCGCCUCCAAAACAUCUCCCCCCAAACAACAACCCCCCGCUCUUCUUCUCCCCGCUUCCUCCUCUACCCCUCCGGCGGCGCCAAGCAACGCCUCGGCCCUCCUCUCUUCUUCUUCUUCUUCUUCUUCUCCUGCGACGCACAGCAGCAGCACCGCCGUGUCAUCCAAGACCUCCACUGGGCUGACCAACGGGAACACGAGGCCCGUAUCCACGACGACCGCCACGCCCAUCACGCCCUUCCACACGCCGGCCAGCCCACCCGGCCGACAGGUAUCACAGCCCGCGGGCACACCUGGUCCUGUGCGAGCCAACCAGAGCCCCUCCCCCGUGAGGCAGCGGGUCUCCCAGCAGACCCUGCUCCUGGGGAAAGGUCUCAAAGGGUCUGGGCCAGACCAGGUGCUGCUCAGAGCUCAGAUGCUCCAGAGCCUCACCCUGAGGCCCCCCCCCCACGGGGCCCUCACCAUCCCUCCCUCCCUUCGCCUCAAGCCGCCGUGCUCGGCCCCGCCUCCCCUCUCUCGCCCUCAUGCCCCCCUCUUCCCCCCCCUGAGGCCGCGCCCGCAGUCCUGCCACACGGCGACGGAGAGACCAAACGCGCCCGGGCGCCACCUCUCCGUCCCGCCUCCGACUCUUUACUCUCCGGUCCGAGUCGUCCCUCUGAGACCCCGCCUCCACCCUGCAAACAGCCACAGGGCGGCGGUGCCGCGGGUGACCACGCCCCUCCAGCCAAUCGGCGCCGCCGCCCCCCCCGCCUGUCGGGCCCCCCUCCCCGUCAGCAGGCCGGGCGGCCCGUUGACUCAGGCGAUGCGCGGCCCGCCGUCCGCGUCCGCCGCCGCCCGCUUCCAGCGCUCGCCCUCGGCGGCGAGGCAGCUGCAGAUCAUCGCCCUCUCUUCAGGACGCCAGUCCUUUACUCGCCACGCGCCGCCGCCGCCUCCCACCGCCGAGUCGCCCGACCCGCCUGGCCAACUGAAGAGGACGUGGAGCGGCGAGGCGCCUCCGCUCGACCCGUCGUUGCCAAAGAACAGCUACCGGCUCCCCUCGCCUCCGUCACUCCUGAGUGCGCCGCCCCCCCCCCAGUCAGCCCGGCCCUCAGCCACCGGCUGCCAGCCCGAGGGGGGAGGGGGAGGCCGGAGAGGAGCAGCGAGAGAGAGGACGAGGGGUGA
ensembl:lncRNA